AGUGAAAGGGCUUACCUAUAUUCCAUCCAGUGUUCGCUAAAUCAUAACAAAAAUAAGAUAACGGUGGGAGAAGGGAAUAUUCAAUACAUUUGGAAAUUGGGAAUAUUCAAUACAUUUGGAAAUUGGGAAUAUUCCAUACACUUGGAAAUUGCAAAGUAAUAUUUACUUAACAGAAAAGAUGUUCAAAGAAAAUUACAAUAUGUACAGAGAUUGAAGGUUGAAAUGGUUGAAGAUUGCACCCAACAU
rnacentral:lncRNA from 1 species